rfam:Pedobacter sp. CCM 8644 NODE_1_length_1047232_cov_117.844_ID_1, whole genome shotgun sequence.
AUAAAGCAUGCGCUAACGAUUGAAGCGGCAUCCUUUUUAUCCGCCAGCUGGCGGACAAAAAGAUAUAGCGGAAAGCGUGUUAAAGC